GGGAAUGUGGCUUAGUGGUAAAGUGCUUGCCUAGCAUGCAUGAAGCCCUGGGUUCAAUUCCUGAAUACCA
rfam:Dipodomys ordii contig_15676, whole genome shotgun sequence.